rnacentral:rRNA from 1 species
UACGUAGGGGGCAAGCGUUGUCCGGAAUCAUUGGGCGUAAAGAGCGUGUAGGCGGCUCGGUAAGUCCGCUCUGAAAGCCCGGGGCUCAACCCCGGGAGGCGGGCGGAUACUGUCGGGCUAGAGUCCGGAAGAGGCGAGUGGAAUUCCUGGUGUAGCGGUGAAAUGCGCAGAUAUCAGGAGGAACACCGAUGGCGAAGGCAGGUCUCUGGGCAUUAACUGACGCUGAGGAGCGAAAGCAUGGGGAGCGAACAGG